UUACAGCCAUAUCAGAUUGAAACACCGCUUUCCGUUCGAUCCCAGAAGUUAAGCAAAGUCGAACCUGGUCAGUUCUUACAUGGGUGACCACUUGGCC